rnacentral:rRNA from 1 species
UACGUAGGGGGCAAGCGUUUGUCCGGAUUAUUGGGCGUAAAGAGCGUGUAGGCGGCUUUACAGGUCCGUUGUGAAAACUCGAGGCUCAACCUCGAGACGCCGGUGGAAACCGUAAGGCUAGAGUCCGGAAGAGGAGAGUGGAAUUCCUGGUGUAGCGGUGAAAUGCGCAGAUAUCAGGAGGAACACCCGUGGCGAAAGCGGCUCUCUGGGACGGUACUGACGCUGAGGCGCGAAAGCGUGGGGAGCAAACAGG